GCUUAUGGCCACACCUCCCUGAGCACGGCCCGAUCUCGUCUGAUCUCGGAAGCUAAGCAGGGUCGGGCCCGGUUAGUACUUGGAUGGGAGUCCGCCUGGGAAUACCAGUGCUGUAAGCC
rnacentral:rRNA from 1 species